AGGUAUGAAGAAGAUGAUGAGUAUAGGAAGAAGCCGAGUGGGAGCUAUGGUGGAGGAAGGUAUGAGGACGAAGAUGAUUAUAGGAAGAAACCUAGUGCUGGUCAUGGUGGAGGGAGGUAUGAGGAAGAUGAUGAGUACAAGAAGCCCAGUGGUGGCGGAUAUGGUUAUGGGGCUUCCAGUGGUGGAGGCCAUGGAGGAAGGUACGAAGAAGAGGACUACAAGAAGAAGCCUAGUGGACACUCAGGGGGAUGCUAUGAGGAAGAGGAGGGGUACAAGAAGGCUAGUGGUCAUAGUGGAGGGAAGUAUGGCAAGGAGGAAGAUGACAAGAAGAAGAAGCAUGGUGAGGAUGAGUCAGAGGGUGGCGGUAUUGGUGAUUACCUGAAGUUGGCACAGGGUUUCAUGAAGAAACAGGAUGGGGAAGGGGAGAGUGGGGGCGGCAUGGGAGACUACUUAAAGCUUGCUGAAGGUUUCUUGAAGAAGCGCUGAUUAAUCUUCCAUGUCAUGUUUCAGGAAGGACUUGUUGUGUUUGGUUAGUCCUGUUUAUUGUCACCAAGUAGUGAAAUUUUCAAGGUUU
rnacentral:lncRNA from 1 species